AUUGAACGCUGGCGGCAGGCCUAACACAUGCAAGUCGAGCGGAGCGGCGGACGGGUGAGUAAUGCCUAGGAAUCUGCCUGGUAGUGGGGGAUAACGUCCGGAAACGGGCGCUAAUCCCGCAUACUAUCAGAUGAGCCUAGGUCGGAUUAGCUAGUUGGUGGGGUAAUGGCUUACCUAGGCGACGAUCCGUAACUGGUCUGAGAGGAUGGUCAGUCGCGCUGGAACUGAGACACGGUCCAGAAUCGUACGGCAGGCAGCAGUGGGGAAUAUUGGACAAUGGGCGAAAGCCUGAUCCAGCCAUGCCGCGUGUGUGAAGAAGGUCUGCGGAUUGUAAAGCGCUUUAAGUUGGGAGGCGUUACCAACAGAAUAAGCACCGGCUAACUUCGUGCCAGCAGCCGCGGUAAUUC
rnacentral:rRNA from 1 species